AUUUAACAUAGUGUCUAUAAUAUAUAUCCUAUUGUUAUGAAACUUUGCAAGCAGUGUUAUAAUUUAUUAAGCUUUGGUCAUACCAAGUUUUUUUUAAGAUUUGUCAACUCUUUCUAUCCUAUUAGGUCCGAGACCACAAUUGUCGUCCCUUGAUUUUCGUUGUUCACGAAUAUAGUCCCUAGUGUUAACAGUGGGUUACUUGCCAAUAAUUUUUAUACCCCUUCCAAAUUUAUUUCUCCGAGUUUAAUGCCUCAAAUUGUAAGUAGGGGGGUGAAAUUACACUGUAAAAAAAUUUGGGUCCAGAAUUUUACAGGAAAGUAGUGAU
rnacentral:lncRNA from 1 species